GAUGAACGCUGGCGGCGUGCCUAAUACAUGCAAGUCGAGCGAACGGACGAGAAGCUUGCUUCUCUGAUGUUAGCGGCGGACGGGUGAGUAACACGUGGAUAACCUACCUAUAAGACUGGGAUAACUUCGGGAAACCGGAGCUAAUACCGGAUAAUAUUUUGAACCGCAUGGUUCAAAAGUGAAAGACGGUCUUGCUGUCACUUAUAGAUGGAUCCGCGCUGCAUUAGCUAGUUGGUAAGGUAACGGCUUACCAAGGCAACGAUGCAUAGCCGACCUGAGAGGGUGAUCGGCCACACUGGAACUGAGACACGGUCCAGACUCCUACGGGAGGCAGCAGUAGGGAAUCUUCCGCAAUGUGCGAAAGCCUGACGGAGCAACGCCGCGUGAGUGAUGAAGGUCUUCGGAUCGUAAAACUCUGUUAUUAGGGAAGAACAUAUGUGUAAGUAACUGUGCACAUCUUGACGGUACCUAAUCAGAAAGCCACGGCUAACUACGUG
rnacentral:rRNA from 1 species